UGCAGGUGGUCGCUGUGAGAUAUGGUUCAGCAACAGAAGCUUCUUUCCCCCAUUGCUGGGCAAUACAGAGCCAGCUGCACAGAAGCCUGCAGACAGAACUGGAGCACAACUGAAAAGUGCUGUGCAGGAGGAGACUUAGCGAAAGGGCAGACCAAAUCUAAGAGAUAUCUGGAUGCAGUACAGCAAAUCAUGAUGACUUCUUUGACCAGACCUUCCAACAGCACAGCCUAUUUGGAAGGGAGAGCGGGCCAGAAGACUUGUUGCGACUGCAUAUUUGGAUCCGAUAUUUGUGGGUCAGAAUUAC